AUUAAAUUGUUAGGUAGGGUUAGAUCUUUGAAAAUGUACGUAGCAGUUGAACGAAAUUAUACAUAUUUAUUGUAGGGUGUAUCAUUUUAGGAUUAACGCUGUACAUGAGGUAAAUAGGUCUGAACUUUAUAAGAAAGAUGUCAUUGAAUAAUCUGUAUGCCAUGGUUGUCUUAUACAUGAGUUGUCAGUACUGCGGUCAGGUCAAGUGUAUUAUGGGUAUAAGGUAGAAGAAUAAGAAGAAAGAAGAAAGAAGAAAGAAAAACAAGAAGAAAGAAGACAAGAAGAAAGAAGAAUGAAGACUAUGAAGAGGAAAUCAAGUCAACGGCUCCUCGCAACGCUUCUCCUCGUCGACGUCGAAAGAUGGCCAACAUGCCUGAUUCCACAACACAAAAAGGUGAGCGCCCAGACCUGGAAAGAUUGCGUAAGUACAGGCAGCAGAAACGUUUAUCCAUGCAUGAGCGCGGGCGAGGUCGGGGAUUAGGGCCACCCGGGAGUCCUCUCGCCGCGGGCGCUGGAACAGGAAGUAGAAGUAAACAUGGCGCAGGUUGCACAUUUUGUUGAUAUAUAAAUGCCAUUAUUCCUGUCCUGGCGUCUGUGUCGUGUGGGGCUUGUAUGAAAUUAUUGUGAGCGGAAAAUGUCAAAAAGGCAAGCGUGUGGACAGACAGGCAGACUGACGGACAAACAGAUUCGAGAUGCGCUGCAGAAAAAAUCCAGUUGUAACAGAUGAGGUUGCAAGCAAGGUGCCAGUGGUGGACUGGCAGCCAGACAGGCAAAACACGCGCUCUAAGAAGGAAGCAGACAUGCAAAUGCGCACAAAAGACAGCCUGGGCGCAUCACCCUCGACAGACAGACAGACCUGGAAGCGAGUCGUGCGAUGCGCUGGCAGUUCCGUUCAGUUGCUGUUCCGAGAAAGCUGGCAUCGGAGGCGUGGCGUGACAGGCGAGCCUCGCUGCCGCCCCGCCGUGCCCCGUGUCAGGUUGGCGCUCACGCUGCCGGUGGAAUGACUCAUCAUGUUUCCUGUCGCGGCGUGCGGCUCUCUCUCGCCAGAUUAAUGCGCCCGUUUGCCGGCACGAAGGGCGGGACGUCUCUCCGUGGCGGUUUCCGACGCGGGCGCUGAGCAAGCGCUCUCGCGGGUUUGGGGCGAGAUUCGCCGCUGCCGGUUGCUCUCUUUGCUCGCCUUUGCCACUCCGUGCCAUCUCAACUCCUUCCUUUCCAACCCA